rnacentral:rRNA from 2 species
AUGCAGUCGAGCGGUAGCACAGAGAGCUUGCUCUCGGGUGACGAGCGGCGGACGGGUGAGUAAUGUCUGGGAAACUGCCUGAUGGAGGGGGAUAACUACUGGAAACGGUAGCUAAUACCGCAUAAUGUCGCAAGACCAAAGUGGGGGACCUUCGGGCCUCAUGCCAUCAGAUGUGCCCAGAUGGGAUUAGCUAGUAGGUGGGGUAACGGCUCACCUAGGCGACGAUCCCUAGCUGGUCUGAGAGGAUGACCAGCCACACUGGAACUGAGACACGGUCCAGACUCCUACGGGAGGCAGCAGUGGGGAAUAUUGCACAAUGGGCGCAAGCCUGAUGCAGCCAUGCCGCGUGUGUGAAGAAGGCCUUCGGGUUGUAAAGCACUUUCAGCGGGGAGGAAGGCGAUAAGGUUAAUAACCUUGGCGAUUGACGUUACCCGCAGAAUAAGCACCGGCUAACUCCGUGCCAGCAGCCGCGGUAAUACGGAGGGUGCACGCGUUAAUCGGAAUUACUGGGCAUAAAGUGCACGUAUGCGGUCUGUCACGUCGGAUGU